UACGGGGGGGGCAAGCGUUGUUCGGAAUUAUUGGGCGUAAAGGGCUCGUAGGCGGUCUGUCACGUCGGGAGUGAAAACUCAGGGCUUAACCCUGAGCCUGCUUCCGAUACGGGCAGACUAGAGGUAUGCAGGGGAGAACGGAAUUCCUGGUGUAGCGGUGAAAUGCGUAGAUAUUGGGAGGAACACCAGUGGCGAAGGCGGGUCUCUGGACAGUUCCUGACGCUGAGGCACGAAGGUCAGGGGAGCAAACGGG
rnacentral:rRNA from 1 species